rnacentral:ncRNA from 1 species
AGAGUAGACGAUUCGCGUCAAGUGCCGCGGGAUGGGAGGUCGCCCACGGACGAAGGAAGCUUGCUUCCGCGGUGGAUCGCCGCAGCCGCU